rnacentral:lncRNA from 1 species
UGUGCACCCAGAGGUCUGAUGCCCGCAGAUGUUGCAGGUAUUCCCUCUGUCUCCACGAUGAGUCCUCUGCAAAACACCAUGUGAGGGAGGGAGGGGAACAAAUGCAAAUGGCUUUGGAGACAAUCUCCUCUCCCCCAUGUAUAUACAUAUGCUCUCAAAGCGUUGCAGUUUGCAGCAGCUUGGAUGCUUUAAAAUAAAUCAUGCAGGGCUUUUUUUUUUCUUUUCUUUUUCUUUUUCUCCUCGCUCCUAAAUGAAACCAUAGCACAAAACAACGUCCCCAAACUCUCAAAGCCCUCGGUGCUGGUUCUGCUCUCCGGGGCUGGCCGGCGUGUGUGUGGCCACAAACCUCCACGCGCUGCGUGGCGAAGCCUCACGGUCGCCGGCUUUAAGGGCUUGACAGGUUUAUAAAGUGCUGAGUGUCCCGGAGGGACGGCGGCACUGUUUGCAGAGAAGAUGAAGCGUGCCAUAUCCAGCUGGUCUAACGAGGCAGCGGGAAAUCUAAAUUAAUUCAGGAAUCACUUCUGUUUUGCCGAGGGAGGAUGUGGGUCUCAAUCCACGGAAAGAGCACGUCGGGGGAAUACUCAUUAACGGCAGGCGUGGGGGUGCAGUGCCAGGCUCCCCCCUCUUACACCAGGGUAAAUCAGGGGGCAUUUAGCAGAGGUACAGAGCAGUGGGAUGAAAUGGGGCUGUGUCAUAUUUGGGGUGGGAGCCUGGUUCCCACCUGCAAGUGCUGAUCCUCCCCAGCUUCUCUAAGGACAAACCCACCUCAACCACUGCCACCUGGGCUCUGCAGGUGAGGCUGGGGGCAUUUAAUGGCUCCUGCUGCCUGUCCCCCUUCCCCUGGGCUGUGUCCUGCCGCUCCACCACAUCCCUCCUGCAGCAUGGGCUCAGCCUCGGUGCCUGUGUUGGAUUUGGGCCUCAGCCUGCCCUCGGUGCUACAGCAGCAAAGCCAACCCCUGCCUCUAUCACAGCGAGUGCCUGCGCUCCCCGGCUCCAGGCAGCUCCCACCCAGCUCCCCAGCAGCAGAACCACUCUGGGCAGCACUCAGAAGGGCCUGAGACCAUCACAGGGAAUUUCUGGGCAGUGAGUCCAGAGUUAUUGGUGUGUAUUGAGGGCCCCUGUCUGCUGCUGGUGUGGCUUUAUUGAAUAUCAGGCUUGGUAAGGGACUGGCUGCUGAGAGUCCUGAAGGUCUUUGCCCUGCUUGGCUUCGUGUGUCUGCUCUCAAAACCAAGAGCAACACCAGGCAGAGCAACUUCUCUGCAGUCUAACUACUUAAUGACUCUUUUUCCGAGUUCAAUAACCACCAAUUAAUUAUUUAAAGCAUGCCAGAGGAGGAUUAACAGCCACGUAAUAUACUAGGUAUGAUUUAUCUUCAAUAAAUAUGUCCCUUGUAAUCA